UACGGAGGAUCCAAGCGUUAUCCGGAAUCAUUGGGUUUAAAGGGUCCGUAGGCGGUUUUGUAAGUCAGUGGUGAAAGCCCAUCGCUCAACGGUGGAACGGCCAUUGAUACUACAAGACUUGAAUUACUAGGAAGUAACUAGAAUAUGUAGUGUAGCGGUGAAAUGCUUAGAUAUUACAUGGAAUACCAAUUGCGAAGGCAGGUUACUACUAGUUGAUUGACGCUGAUGGACGAAAGCGUGGGGAGCGAACAGG
rnacentral:rRNA from 1 species